UUGAUCCUGGCUCAGAACGAACGCUGGCGGCAGGCUUAACACAUGCAAGUCGAGCGCCCCGCAAGGGGAGCGGCAGACGGGUGAGUAACGCGUGGGAACGUACCCUUUUCUACGGAAUAACCCAGGGAAACUUGGACUAAUACCGUAUGUGCCCUUCGGGGGAAAGAUUUAUCGGAAAAGGAUCGGCCCGCGUUGGAUUAGCUAGUUGGUGGGGUAAAGGCCUACCAAGGCGACGAUCCAUAGCUGGUCUGAGAGGAUGAUCAGCCACAUUGGGACUGAGACACGGCCCAAACUCCUACGGGAGGCAGCAGUGGGGAAUAUUGGACAAUGGGCGCAAGCCUGAUCCAGCCAUGCCGCGUGAGUGAUGAAGGCCCUAGGGUUGUAAAGCUCUUUCACCGGUGAAGAUAAUGACGGUAACCGGAGAAGAAGCCCCG
rnacentral:rRNA from 1 species